UGGUGUGAGAGAAUGAAGCUGCCAGCAUGAUCUGGUUUUCAGGCAUGAGCCAAAUCUAUCCAUGGUGUUGGUGGUACUGAAAUUACCGCGUUUUCGAGGUUUUUCGUCGUGUCAACUUGCGAAGGGAAUUACGGGUUCUUGAUGAGCAUUGGUGAUAGGAGGUGUGGGCUUGGUUAGUAGAGGUAGAAUUAUGAUUGUUCUUGUGAGUUUCAGUAAGAGGUGGGAGUGAUUGGAAUUUGGCUCCAUCAGAUCAUGUUGCAGCUUCACUCUCUCACCAC
rnacentral:pre_miRNA from 1 species